CCUACGGGAGGCUGCAGUGAGGAAUAUUGGUCAAUGGGCGAGAGCCUGAACCAGCCAAGUCGCGUGAGGGAGUACUGCCCUAUGGGUUGUAAACCUCUUUUGUCGGGGAGCAAAAGCCGGACGUGUCCGGCUGUGAGAGUACCCGAAGAAAAAGCAUCGGCUAACUCCGUGCCAGCAGCCGCGGUAAUACGGAGGAUUCAAGCGUUAUCCGGAUUUAUUGGGUUUAAAGGGUGCGUAGGCGGUCGGAUAAGUUAGAGGUGAAAUCCCGAGGCUCAACUUCGGAAUUGCCUCUGAUACUGUUCGGCUAGAGAGUAGUUGCGGUAGGCGGAAUGUAUGGUGUAGCGGUGAAAUGCUUAGAGAUCAUACAGAACACCGAUUGCGAAGGCAGCUUACCAAGCUACUUCUGACGUUGAGGCACGAAAGCGUGGGGAGCAAACAGGAUUAGAUACCCUUGUAGUC
rnacentral:rRNA from 1 species